rnacentral:lncRNA from 10 species
AGUCUUGAAAGAUGGGAAGAUCAGGAGCAGUCUGGAGUCAUGGUAUAUGAAUGAACUAGUGAGAGUGGGCACAAAGUCUGAAGAUCUUUGUAGUGCAGCUAAUGUCUAAGGGAGAAUAUACCUACCCUAGAAGAGACAUUAAACAACCAGGAAGCUUACUGCAGGAAAGAAAUCCCUCAGAGUCCUGAAGAUACAGCUUUCAGAACUUAGGUGAAGCAAGAGGACUCAAGGUGUGCAAGAAUGGACAGUACAGAAUGCUCUGCUACACUGCUCAGAUUCCCCCUUCAGGAAGGAAGGACAAAUUCACUCAACUUCUGGGAGCAUUGAUGGUUGAGCUCUCAGCCAUCAGACCUUUUUGGAAGUUGCCCUCUUCUGAAAAGAGGCACAUUGCCCAAGAUCUUUCCUCCUCCAGAGCGCAGGCUGCACCUGAAGUCUGAUUGAUGUGGGGUAUGAUGGUCUGGUCUCCUUUCCCCAUCUAAAGGACUGUUCUAACCUCAGGGCUCUCCUUGAGUUUCCUUAGUUAGUUCUUAUUACUAUGUUGCAGUCCAACUUCUUCUUUGGCCUAAUUCUACUUUCCUCCCAUUCCCCAAUUGUUGAUCCUGACAGCAAUUUCCCCCCAAAUUUCUGUAAACUAAGCAUGAUCUCAGAGUCACCUGACCUGCAACAUUAUUACAUACACUAUAGUCCGUGCACUUAAAGAUUUAGUGAAAGUAUGCUGCUGAAGCUUGCCAGAACUUCCCUUCUU